GACGAACGCUGGCGGCGUGCCUAAUACAUGCAAGUAGAACGCACAGUUUAUACCGUAGCUUGCUACACCAUAGACUGUGAGUUGCGAACGGGUGAGUAACGCGUAGGUAACCUGCCUGGUAGCGGGGGAUAACUAUUGGAAACGAUAGCUAAUACCGCAUAAUAUUGAUUAUUGCAUGAUAAUUAAUUGAAAGGUGCAAUCGCACCACUACCAGAUGGACCUGCGUUGUAUUAGCUAGUAGGUGAGGUAACGGCUCACCUAGGCGACGAUACAUAGCCGACCUGGGAGGGUGAUCGGCCACACUGGGACUGAGACACGGCCCAGACUCCUACGGGAGGCAGCAGUAGGGAAUCUUCGGCAAUGGACGAAAGUCUGACCGAGCAACGCCGCGUGAGUGAAGAAGGUUUUCGGAUCGUAAAGCUCUGUUGUAAGAGAAGAACGGGUGUGAGAGUGGAAAGUUCACACUGUGACGGUAUCUUACCAGAAAGGGACGGCUAACUACGUG
rnacentral:rRNA from 1 species